ensembl:snRNA U6 U6 spliceosomal RNA
GUGCUCACUCUGGCAGCACACAUGCUAAAAUUGGAACAUUAUAGAUUAACAUGGUCCUUGCACAAGGAUGACACACAAACUUGAACUAUUCCAUAUUUUU